rnacentral:rRNA from 1 species
CGGUAAUUCCAGCUCCAAUAGCGUAUAUUAAAGUUGUUGCAGUUAAAAAGCUCGUAGUUGAAUUUCGGGAUCAAUACGUCGGUCGUGCCUCUGGUAUGUACUGGUGUUAUUGAUUUCUCCUUCUGAUGAACCAUGAUGUCAUUAAUUUGGUGUUGUGGGAGUCAGGACUGUUACUUUGAAAAAUUAGAGUGUUUAAAGCAGGCCUACGCUUGAAUACAUUAGCAUGGAAUAAUGAAAUAGGACGUUCGAACCUAUUUUGUUGGUUUCUAGGAUCAACGUAAUGAUUAAUAGGGAUAGUUGGGGGCAUUAGUAUUCAAUUGUCAGAGGUGAAAUUCUUGGAUUUAUUGAAGACUAACUACUGCGAAAGCAUUUGCCAAGGAUGUUUUCAUUAAUCAAGAACGAAAGUUAGGGGAUCGAAGACGAUCAGAUACCGUCGUAGUCUUAACCAUAAACUAUGCCGACUAGGGAUCGGAUGAUGUUAAUUUUUUAAUGACUCAUUCGGCGCCUUACG